AUUGAACGCUGGCGGCAGGCCUAACACAUGCAAGUCGAGCGAGCGGCGGACGGGUGAGUAAUGUCUGGGGAUCUGCCCGAUAGAGGGGGAUAACUACUGGAAACGGUGGCUAAUACCGCAUACUAUCAGAUGAACCCAGAUGGGAUUAGCUAGUAGGUGGGGUAACGGCUCACCUAGGCGACGAUCUCUAGCUGGUCUGAGAGGAUGACCAGCCACACUGGAACUGAGACACGGCCCAGACUCCUACGGGAGGCAGCAGUGGGGAAUAUUGCACAAUGGGCGCAAGCCUGAUGCAGCCAUGCCGCGUGUAUGAAGAAGGCCUUCGGGUUGUAAAGUACUUUCAGCGGGGAGGCGUUACCCGCAGAAGAAGCACCGGCUAACUCCGUGCCAGUAGCCGCGGUAAUAC
rnacentral:rRNA from 1 species